UAGUGCAGAAUCCAGAAUGGAUGUCCUCUUCUUAGCCGCCCUUGCUGUGCCACUUAUCCUGGGUAAGUCCACUCCUGAGCCCGAGCCUGCCAGUCCUUUUCUUAUAAACGGGAUGAGAGAAGAGCUAGAAGGACAAGGACAGGAAUACGAGGACGAAGAAGAGCUGGACGAGAGUGAAUACUAUCAAGUGGCAUAUUAUUAUUACACAAUUACCCCUAAUUAUGAUGACUUUAGUCCAAACUUCACUGUCGAUUACUCCGUGUUUGAGUUGGAGGAUAGGUUGGUCAGAACGGGUUGGAGAAGGAGGCGACCACAGAGGCAGUGGAGACCACCAUUAGUCUCCACACAGAACUCGCGGACCCUCAGAAUCCUGUGACAACGAGACCAGUGACGACGAAGCCAGUGACUACAGAGCCAAUUCCAGAUCAGAAUGAUGCCAUGUCCAGUCUGCAGAGUUCUGUGUCCUGUCUUCUCUUAUGGACCCUCCUUCAAGGGGCGCUGCACUUUAUGUAGAAGUCUCCCGUGGCUCAGGCUGGUCUUGAACCCAUCUCCUACAUCCAACCUCUAGGAUUACAGCAGGAAUAAGACAUCACACCCAGCUUAAUUAUAUUUUAUAUGACAUUGUCUUGAAACUUUGGGGAAACAGUGCUGAGGUUUAAUUUAGAAACUCUUUUCCUUUUUCUAAAAUAACCACAUUGCUAAAUAUAAGUAAAGAGUAUUCAAAUAUAUUUAAAAUAAUAAUGCACUCUCCAAACCCCGACUUUAUUCCUGUUCAAUUUUUUCUUUUGGUAAGAAUAUGCAUUUUAAAAAAAUUAGAGUCUCUGUCCUCCCGACCCUAGUCAGAACUAGAGUGCCCCCUUGCGAUCUCUCUGUUGUCUUCAAAUUACAGGGUCUUGUUCUUCAUUGUUUGCUUUAACUCUGACUUGAUAAAACGGCUGUUAGCGUCUA